CCUGCCUUGUAGCGGGGGAUAACUAUUGGAAACGAUAGCUAAUACCGCAUAACAAUGGAUGACACAUGUCAUUUAUUUUGAAAGGGGCAAUUGCUCCACUACAAGAUGGACCUGCGUUGUAUUAGCUAGUAGGUGAGGUAAUGGCUCACCUAGGCGACGAUACAUAGCCGACCUGAGAGGGUGAUCGGCCACACUGGGACUGAGACACGGCCCAGACUCCUACGGGAGGCAGCAUG
rnacentral:rRNA from 1 species